rnacentral:rRNA from 2 species
AUACUCUAUACUCCUGCUUAACACAAGUUGAGUAGGGAAAGUUUUUCGGUGUAGGAUGAGACUAUAUAGUAUCAGCUAGUUGGUAAGGUAAUGGCUUACCAAGGCUAUGACGCUUAACUGGUCUGAGAGGAUGAUCAGUCACACUGGAACUGAGACACGGUCCAGACUCCUACGGGAGGCAGCAGUAGGGAAUAUUGCGCAAUGGGGGAAACCCUGACGCAGCAACGCCGCGUGGAGGAUGACACUUUUCGGAGCGUAAACUCCUUUUCUUAGGGAAGAAUUCUGACGGUACCUAAGGAAUAAGCACCGGCUAACUCCGUGCCAGCAGCCGCGGUAAUACGGAGGGUGCAAGCGUUACUCGGAAUCACUGGGCGUAAAGGGCGCGUAGGCGGAUUAUCAAGUCUCUUGUGAAAUCUAAUGGCUUAACCAUUAAACUGCUUGGGAAACUGAUAGUCUAGAGUGAGGGAGAGGCAGAUGGAAUUGGUGGUGUAGGGGUAAAAUCCGUAGAUAUCACCAAGAAUACCCAUUGCGAAGGCGAUCUGCUGGAACUCAACUGACGCUAAGGCGCGAAAGCGUGGGGAGCAAACAGGAUUAGAUACCCUGGUAGUCCACGCCCUAAACGAUGUACACUAGUUGUUGGGGUGCUAGUCAUCUCAGUAAUGCAGCUAACGCAUUAAGUGUACCGCCUGGGGAGUACGGUCGCAAGAUUAAAACUCAAAGGAAUAGACGGGGACCCGCACAAGCGGUGGAGCAUGUGGUUUAAUUCGAAGAUACGCGAAGAACCUUACCUGGGCUUGAUAUCCUAAGAACCUUUUAGAGAUAAGAGGGUGCUAGCUUGCUAGAACUUAGAGACAGGUGCUGCACGGCUGUCGUCAGCUCGUGUCGUGAGAUGUUGGGUUAAGUCCCGCAACGAGCGCAACCCACGUAUUUAGUUGCUAACGGUUCGGCCGAGCACUCUAAAUAGACUGCCUUCGUAAGGAGGAGGAAGGUGUGGACGACGUCAAGUCAUCAUGGCCCUUAUGCCCAGGGCGACACACGUGCUACAAUGGCAUAUACAAUGAGACGCAAUACCGCGAGGUGGAGCAAAUCUAUAAAAUAUGUCCCAGUUCGGAUUGUUCUCUGCAACUCGAGAGCAUGAAGCCGGAAUCGCUAGUAAUCGUAGAUCAGCCAUGCUACGGUGAAUACGUUCCCGGGUCUUGUACUCACCGCCCGUCACACCAUGGGAGUUGAUUUCACUCGAAGCCGGAAUACUAAACUAGUUACCGUCCACAGUGGAAUCAGCGACUGGGGUGAAGUCGUAACAAGGUAACCGUAGGAGAACCUGCGGUUGGAUCACCUCCUUUCUA